ACCCGACGAGGUUACAGUGGAGGA
rnacentral:siRNA from 1 species